rnacentral:rRNA from 1 species
UACGAGGGGGGCGAGCGUUGUUCGGAAUUAUUGGGCGUAAAGGGUGCGUAGGCGGUUUGGUAAGUCUGAUGUGAAAUCUAUGGGCUCAACUCAUAGUCUGCAUCGGAAACUGCCGGGCUUGAGUGUGGGAGAGGGAUGCGGAAUUCCAGGUGUAGCGGUGAAAUGCGUAGAUAUCUGGAGGAACACCGGUGGCGAAGGCGGCAUCCUGGACCACGACUGACGCUGAGUGAGCGAAAGCCAGGGGAGCAAACGGG